UGUUUCCUUUUUCAAGUACUACUAUGAGAAACUACCACUCUCUCUUCUCUAUCUACCCAACUUCAUCUUCUAUCAUUGCAGCUGCAGUUGCAGUGCCGUAGAGUAGACACUCCCACUCACUCCCUCCCUCGAUUGAGCAGAGAAUGUACACGUCACCGUCCUCAGAUUAGAAGAAGAAAUGGCUGCAUUAAUCUGUUUUCCUCCAUCUCUCUCAUCUCUUUCUACGAAUACAAUUCCCAAAUUAUCCACUCCAUCAUCCUUCUCAAACACCAGAUGCUUUUUUCCACACAAAGCCCCUUGCCUCUCCAAUUUUGUUGCCAGGGCUUAUAAUUGGGGCAAUUCCGAAUAUGAUGAUGAUGAUAAUGGCAAGUAUACAAAAGAAGAUUAUGACAGCAUUGAGAUUGAAAUAGUGAAGACUGGCAACAACAGCCGGAGAAUUAGAUCAAAAGUAAGGAUCCAAGCCAGCCUACAGGCUGUUUGGGAUAUAUUGACUGAUUAUGAAGGCUUAGCAGACUUCAUUCCUGGCCUAGCAGUCAGCAAGUUGCUUGAGAAGACCGAUAAUUUUGUUCGCCUUUUUCAGAUUGGUCAGCAGAAUUUAGCUUUUGGGCUCAAAUUCGACGCAAAAGGUACUAUUGACUGUGUUGAGAAGGAUCUUGAAAUUCUUCCAAUUGGGCAGAGGCGUGAUAUUGAGUUCAAGAUGGUUGAAGGUGAUUUCCAGAUCUUUCAAGGAAAGUGGUCUGUUGAACAGGUGAAGUCUAAGGCUGGAGAUUUGCAAAGUCAUUCUGUUGAUGACAUAGAAUACCAAACGACACUUGUAUAUGUUGUUGAUGUGAAACCUAAGGUGUGGUUGCCUGUGCGCCUUGUAGAGGGUAGACUCUGCACGGAGAUAAGAACAAACCUGUCAUGCAUACGCGAAGAAGCCGAGAAAGCAUUUCAGAGUGCAAAUUCUGUUACUAUAGAAGAUUGAUAUUUCUGGUGUUUCAGUCUGUUUUCAUUCAAUGGUGUAGGAAUCAAUGAAUUGAGAAAUUGAUGAUGCCUCAGUCAUCAAGUUUUGUCUCCAAAUAGCUCCAGCAUCAGCUGCAGAGUUGGGUCAUUGCAAAAAAUAAGGGCAUGCAGUCGUUGUCUCGUUUUGCUUCGCCUACUAAGGGUUUCGAAGGAAGGAGCUCAGUACAUAAGAAGAAUGCAUUCCUGAACUCUCUUGACCAAUUUGACAGUGUUGCCUAUUGCAUCCUCUCAAAGUUUUACUUUUGUCAAUUUUUGGUUUCAGUCAUCUACAUUGAGAUACUAUGUUAGAAUAUGAAAUUUCAUU